GAAAAGACAGUCCCAACCUGGAUGUUUCCGAAGUCUCAUUUUCUUGCAGAAGAAAACAUAUGAUUUUUCACUUGUUUAUUUGAGUAUGUGAUUUAUAAUAAUUUAAAAAAAUGAUUACAAAAAUGAACAGUAUGAAAAUGGGUAAAAUCCAGUGGAACUGCUUGUCAUCUAUGGGAGGGAAACAACAGGAAUCAUGUGACCUUGGGAAACUUACUUGUUGCUGGUAUAAAAUAAGGAGAUAUUUUUAAAGUCUCAUUUUCAGGAUCUCUCCAUUUAGAGGGGUUGUUCCACUUGGGCAGGUUACCUCUGUGCCUUUGAACCAGAGGCCACUGCAGUUAUUGAGCACACUUCAGCAGCUGUUCCUCCUCUGAACGCAGCAAAGCAGAGAAUUGAGGCAAGAGGUCUUCUAAGCACGUGGGGACCAGAGGAGUAUGAAUUGACCAGACUGGAUGUUUCCUUUUAUCAAAAAAUUGCCAGGUGCCAGGAUGCAGCCCCACAACAUGUAACGUCAAAUACCGGCCAACCUCUGGAAAUAGACCUAGAGGCAUUGUCUCAAAGGGCCCCAAAUGGUGAAACUCUCCGGCAGGCUUUCCAGAGGGCGAGAGGUUGGGAUUCUGUAAGAUUCGGAAUAUUGGGUACUUUUCUCCAACCCGCCCCCUCCCCACCCUAUCCAGGACCAGAUUGGCCAUUUGGGAAGUUGAGUCAAAUGUCUGAAGGGAUCUGGAGAAGCCCAGCUUCAGCCUCUCACCCCUCCUAUCCUACUGGUACAGGAUUCACUAAUAGAGCAAAAGGUAUAAAUACUCCCCAGAUCAAUCAAAUCUUUCUCCGGUUAAUUUGAUGGAAACACCCAGGGCUCCAAAUGCUAUGUAAAUAACCCAUCAUCUGUGAAUUUAAAUAGGUAAGGGAUCCCAAACACUGUGAAGAGCCGUAACUGUCUCAGAGAGGCUCCUGGGGUAACCAGCAUAAACCCUGAAAACGGAUCUAACAUACAAAUAAUCUUUACACUGGAGAGGGCUAAGCUUUGUGCUUUAUCUAACUAAAUAAGCACUGAUGCCAUUAAAACGCUGAGCUGGUUUUAAGUCUUCUCUGCUCCUGCUGCUCCUAUUGACAGAAAGAUAAAGUGCUGUCUAACAGCACAGCAAAGAUUCUUACCUGCAGGAGUGCAGCCCAAACCUUUCUUGAUGCUGCCCCCCAACCCCCUGCACCAACAAGUCAGGAAGCAUGUACUGAGCUCCUAAUGUGUAUGCAACACUGUGCUGUGUGCUUUGGGAAAUAAGAAAUAGGAUAUAAGCCCAUGGGCUAGCUUGGAGCUGUGUGAAUAAAAAGGACAAAUCAGAAGGAUUCUUUAAAGGA
rnacentral:lncRNA from 1 species